rnacentral:rRNA from 1 species
UACAGAGGGUGCGAGCGUUAAUCGGAAUUACUGGGCGUAAAGGGUGCGUAGGCGGCGCGGUAAGUCGGGUGUGAAAUCUCGGAGCUUAACUCCGAAACUGCAUUCGAUACUGCCGUGCUUGAGGACUGGAGAGGAGACUGGAAUUUACGGUGUAGCGGUGAAAUGCGUAGAUAUCGUAAGGAAGACCAGUGGCGAAGGCGGGUCUCUGGACAGUUCCUGACGCUGAGGCACGAAGGUCAGGGGGAGCAAACGGG